rnacentral:rRNA from 1 species
AACGAACGCUGGCGGCAGGCCUAACACAUGCAAGUCGAGCGGACCUUUCGGGUUCAGCGGCGGACGGGUGAGUAACGCGUGGGAAUAUGCCCUUCUCUACGGCAUAGUCCUGGGAAACUGUGGGUAAUACCGUAUACGCCCUUUGUGGGAAAGAUUUAUCGGGGAAGGAUUAGCCCGCGUUGGAUUAGGUAGUUGGUGGGGUAAUGGCCUACCAAGCCGACGAUCCAUAGCUGGUUUGAGAGGAUGAUCAGCCACACUGGGACUGAGACACGGCCCAGACUCCUACGGGAGGCAGCAGUGGGGAAUCUUAGACAAGGGGGGCAACCCUGAUCCAGCCAGGCCGCGUGAGUGAUGAAGGCGUUAGGGUUGUAAAGCUCUUUCAGCUGGGAAGAUAAUGACGGUACCAGCAGAAGAAGCCCCGGCUAACUCCGUG